rnacentral:lncRNA from 1 species
GUGCGUGUAACAUCACUUCUUCACGCAGUGUCAUAGGAAAGUGGGUUCCUGGACCCCAGGUUAAGAGCCUAAGCACUAAAGGCACAGAGCUAGAGCUCUAGGAGGGGAGGGAUGGCUGGGGUGGAACCUCGUCUUGUCAUUUAGUCCUGGGGCCUUUUCACUCCUUACAUGGUGGGUGGUGGGCGUCUGGCAGGUGCCGAUGUUGAUGGAGUCAAGGGAGGGAACUAGCCGGGACAGGGAAAAACAGGGUUGGAGAGAUAAUUAAGGUGGACAUUAUUUUUUCUGAGCGUAAGUCGUGGCUGGAAAUCUGGAGAGCCUGAAAGAGUAUCCCCCUACCCAAACCUGUUUUUUCCUUUUCCCUCAAGCCUCAUUUGGCCACAGGCCCAGUGUCAACACCAGGGGGCGCCACAGACCAUGAAGGCACCGUGCAGCUGGGAUUGUUUGUGGUCGGCUACUGGGUCCCUGACUUAACCAGGGGAGCCAAGACCCUGUAGCCAAGUGGCCUGGAUUCAACCUGCAGCUCAGGUCUUACUGACACUUCUCCCCCUGGUGCCUCAGUUUCUUAAUCUGUGAAAUGGUGAGGACAUUACAGCAUUUACCUCUGGGGCGGGUUUCUCAACAGCAGCACUAUUAACAAUUUGGGACAGAGAAUCUUGUGGAGUGGUCUGUCCUGUGCAUUGUGGGAGGUUUGCCAGCAACACCCCACUCACCCCCUCCCACCAAUCCCCAUGUGACAACCGAAAAUGUCCCAGGAUUUUUAGGUCUCCCUUGGGUCUAGAAGCUGCACUUAGGCAUUUUCCCACCUGACACUUGAGUUCAUCUCUGCUUUGGUCCACAUAAGGCCACUUUAAAAAAAUGUUGUUUCUUUAAAGAUUCUAACCAUCUUUUAAACAAAUCCAUUUUCUUCCUCUAUUUCUGCAUUCAGUUAAUCCUUCCAAACCCUUUGUUUAGUAUAUCUUGAAAUGUAUCAAUUCCUGUUCUAGUAAUUAACAUAUGUGACUUGCAUGAUAUCUGCUAUGACCCCUAGUAGAGCUCUGAUUCCUUUAGCACAGGGAAUGUGUUCUCGAUUCUGCUCUGGAUGAUGUAAAUCAAUUUAUUUUACUUUACUUGUCUGGGAUGUUGCUCCUCAUCUGUAAGAUGUAAAUGUGGAUAUGGCUUGGAUUACUAAGUGGUUUUAUUUCUUAAUUCACCUGACAUUUGUUGUGUACCUGCUGCAAGUCAAAUACAUGGCAUGGUAUUGUUUCCUUGUUCACACCACAGCAAAUGAGAAAAUGAGACAUUAUAGCCAGGUGUGGCGGCACAGGCUUGUGGUCCUAGCUACUCGGAAGGCUGAGGCAGGAGAAUUGCUCCAGCCCAGGAGUUUGAGGUUACAGUAAGGUAUGAUAUCACCAUUGCAUUUCAACCUGGGCAACAGACCCUGUCUCUGAAAAAAGGGAAAAAGACCUUGUGAGCUGUCUACGUGUACUCUAUGUCUCAGGAGACUCAUAUCCUGUAAUUUUUCUAAAUGGCGUCUCCAUGUGGUCUUUCAUGAAUGUUUGUCUGGUAUUCUCUAUCCUUUUACUUUCAACUUUUCUUUACCUUCUACUGAAAUUAUGUCUUUUGUAAACAGCCCAUGAUUAUUUAUUUAGUUAUUUAUUUUUACCCCCCUGCACUAUUUGUCUUGUAAUUGGAGUGUCUGAGUCCAUUAUGUUUAAUGUAAUUAUUGACCUCAUUGGGUUUAAGUCUGUCCAUUGUCAUUUGCUGCCUUCUAAUAUUAUCUCUUUCUUGCUCAACUAUUUUUCUUAUGUUACCUUCUUUAGAUGAAUAAAAACCUUUGCAUUAU